UCGGGAAUUUUGGACAAUGGGGGCAACCCUGAUCCAGCCAUGCCGCGUGAGUGAAGAAGGCCUUCGGGUUGUAAAGCUCUUUCGGCGGGGACGAAACGGUCCGUGACAACACCACGGACUAAUGACAGUACUCGCAGAAGAAGCACCGGCUAACUACGUGCCAGCAGCCGCGGUAAUACGUAGGGUGCAGGCGUUAAUCGGAAUUACUGGGCGUAAAGCGUGCGCAGGCGGCUCCUUAAGUCAGAUGUGAAAUCCCCGGGCUUAACCUGGGAACUGCGUUUGAAACUGAGGGGCUAGAGUGUGGAAGAGGGGGGUGGAAUUCCAGGUGUAGCAGUGAAAUGCGUAGAGAUCUGGAGGAACACCGAUGGCGAAGGCAGCCCCCUGGGCUAACACUGACGCUCAUGCACGAAAGCGUGGGGGGCAAA
rnacentral:rRNA from 1 species